rnacentral:rRNA from 1 species
AACGCGAAGAACCUUACCCAGGUUUGACAUGCACUCGUAAACCGUAGAAAUACGGUCCCCGCAAGGCGGGUGCACAGGUGGUGCAUGGCUGUCGUCAGCUCGUGCCGUGAGGUGUUGGGUUAAGUCCCGCAACGAGCGCAACCCCCGUGGCUAGUUGCAUUGUUCUAGUCAUACUGCUGGGAGAAACCCAGAGGAAGGCGGGGAUGAGGUCAAGUCAUCAUGCCCUUUAUGCCUGGGGCUACACACACGCUACAAUGCCCGGUACAACGGGCUGCAACACCGCGAGGUGAAGCUAAUCCCUUAAAGCCGGGCUCAGUUCGGAUUGCAGGCUGCAACUCGCCUGCAUGAAGUCGGAGUUGCUAGUAACUGCAGGUCAGCACACUGCAGUGAAUAUGUUCCCGGGCCUUGUACACACCGCUGUA